rnacentral:rRNA from 1 species
UGGGGAAUAUUGGACAAUGGGCGCAAGCCUGAUCCAGCCAUGCCGCGUGAGUGACGAAGGUCUUCGGAUUGUAAAGCUCUUUUGGCGGGGACGAUAAUGACGGUACCCGCAGAAUAAGCCCCGGCUAACUUCGUGCCAGCAGCCGCGGUAAUACGAAGGGGGCUAGCGUUGUUCGGAAUUACUGGGCGUAAAGCGCACGUAGGCGGACUCUUAAGUCAGGGGUGAAAUCCCGGGGCUCAACCUCGGAACUGCCCUUGAUACUGUGAGUCUCGAGACCGGAAGAGGUGAGUGGAAUUCCUAGUGUAGAGGUGAAAUUCGUAGAUAUUAGGAAGAACACCAGUGGCGAAGGCGGCUCACUGGUCCGGUUCUGACGCUGAGGUGCGAAAGCGUGGGGAGCAAACAGG